AUGAUGGAGUCCCCUUCGUUUGCAUUAGAUCUCAAGAUGGUGGGUCCAUUGGAAGGAGACAUGCAUUCAGUGGCUUGUCUACGAGAAACCCUAUUUCCUUCCCUAACUGCAAAUCAGACAAAAUAGAACAAGUUCUGUGGGGGGUAAUAAAUUUUUGGA